rnacentral:rRNA from 1 species
GACGAACGCUGGCGGCGUGCUUAACACAUGCAAGUCGUACGGUAAGGCCCUUUCUGUGGUACACGAGUGACUAACGGGCGAGUAACACGCGCGUAAGCAGCCCACCACUUUCGGAUAACGCUAGGCAACUGGUGCUAACACUUACUAGAUGUUCCCUCGUCUUGGUGUGGGGUGGAGAGGUCCGGGGGUUGCGGGUGGAGGCUGGGCCCGCGGCCUAGCUGGUUGUUGGUGGGGUAAUGGAGUCGCGAGGCGGCGGCGGGUAGCCGGCCUGGGAGGGUGACCGGCCACAUUGGGACUGAGAUACGGCCCAGACUCCUACGGGGGGCAGCAGGGGGGAAUAUUGCACAAUGGGCGCAAGCCUGAUGCAGGAGCGCCGCGUGCGGGAUGACGGCCUUCGGGUUGUAAACCGCUUUCAGCAGGGACGAAGCUUUUUGUGACGGUACCUGCAGAAGAAGCACCGGCUAACUACGUG